rnacentral:rRNA from 1 species
AUUGAACGCUGGCGGCAUGCCUUACACAUGCAAGUCGAACGGUAACGGGCCUUCUGGUGCCGACGCGUGGCGGACGGGCGAGUAAUACAUCGGAACGUGCCCGAUCGUGGGGGAUAACGAGGCUAAAGCUUUGCUAAUACCGCAUACGAUCUACGGAUGAAAGCCGGGGACCGCAAGGCCUUGCGGUUGCGGAGCGGCCGGUGGACGAUCAGCUUGCUGGUGGGGUAGUGGCUUACCAAGCCGAUGAUCUGUAGCCGGCCUGAGAGGGUGAUCGGCCACAGUGGGACUGAGAUACGGCCCAGACUCGUACGGGAGGCAGAAGUGGGGAAUAUGGCACAAUGGGCGGAAGCCUGAGGCAGCAACGCCGCGUGCGGGAUGACGGCCUUCGGGGUGUAAACCGCUUUCGCCUGUGACGAAGCGUGAGUGACGGUAAUGGGUAAAGAAGCACCGGCUAACUACGUG